AAAAAAUAUCCCUUUAACUCCCGAAACCUGAAAAACGCGAAAUAUCUUUUGGGCCAUUGGCUUUCAAAAUUGCGAUAUCUGCCUUUAAAGAAAUUGAAAACCCUAAUCUUUGCUGCGUUCGUGUUCGAGUUUCAGUGCGAUUCCCAAUUUUGUCCGGGAUAAAAUGAGUAGCCGUGCGAGCAGAACCCUUUACGUUGGGAAUCUCCCAGGUGAUAUUCGUGAGAGGGAAGUGGAAGAUUUGUUUUACAAGUAUGGACGCAUAGCCCACAUUGACUUGAAGGUCCCUCCAAGGCCUCCUGGUUAUGCUUUUGUUGAGUUUGAGGAUGCCAGAGAUGCUGAAGAUGCAAUUCGUGGUCGUGAUGGCUAUGAUUUUGACGGGCAUCGCUUGCGGGUUGAACUUGCGCAUGGUGGACGUGGACAUUCAUCAUCAACUGAUCGCUAUAGUGGCCACAGUGGUGGUGGUGGUGGGGGUGGAGGCCGAGGGGGACGAGGCGUAUCAAGGCGCUCUGAGUAUCGUGUGAUGGUAUCCGGAUUACCUUCUUCGGCUUCAUGGCAAGACCUGAAGGAUCACAUGCGUCGUGCAGGGGAUGUUUGUUUCUCUCAAGUGUUUCGUGGUAGUAGUGGCACAACAGGAAUCGUGGACUACACUAACUAUGAAGACAUGAAGUAUGCAAUAAAAAAGCUUGAUGACUCUGAGUUCCGGAAUGCAUUUUCUCGGUCAUAUGUUCGUGUUAGGGAAUAUGAUUCAAAGAGAGACUCAUCUAGGAGCCCUAGCCCUGGUCGUGGUCGUUCUCAUUCAAAGGGGAGGAGUGGCAGUCGCAGUCGGAGCCGUAGUUACAGUAGGAGCAGAAGCAGGAGCAAAUCUCCAAAAGCCAAAGCUUCACGUCGCUCACCGGCUAAAUCUGGAUCAAGAUCUAGGUCUCGUUCACGCUCUCGCUCCUUGUCUGGGUAUGUGUUUAUUGUCAUAGAUAUUAUUCUUUUUUUGUCGUGUGUUGCUUUUCAGCAUCUUAUUUCAGUCUAGGAUAACACCUAUGUGUUAAACUGUCAUUUUUCCCGUCAACGUCAAAUUUGCCGUGUCAUGAUCUUUUAGCUGCAGUGGGUUUUUCCACAGGAGACUUUCUAUUUGUUCUCUGUGGAGGCACAUGUUUGAAUUCUAGAAUCAUUGGGUUGGCUUGUUUAUUUUGUAUUUGCUUGUUCAGCAAUGGGUCUACUCUGAAAUUAUAUUUGUCACCACAAAAUAUUUAUUUUUUUUCCUCCUUUUGUCGUGUGGAAUUACCUUUUCUGUUGUCAUAGAUUUGGAUUUAUGCAGCGAACUGGGGAUUGGAUAUUAGGAUCUUGAUUGGAUAUGAUUCAGUUGCACUCUUUUGGUUGUGGAGAUUGGGAACAAAGGUGGUCAUGGAUUGCUAUAGUUGAGCUGGAUAACUGUGUACUAAGUGCAAUGGGAUUUGGAAGUCACCAUCAAUUUGCAGUAGAGACAUUACACUUUUGAUUACCUGCUUCAACACUUGCCAAGCUAAUAGGACGACACUUUCUGGAUUCCCUGGAUUUUGGUGGUACAGUAGGGAAGAAUACUCCUCUCCUGUCCACUAGUGUCUUGAAAACAAUUAAUACUGUUUUCUUUAAGAUAUUUGUUUUUAUAAUCUUAGGUCGUUUGUAGGUGGGAAUAAUAUGCAUUGACCUGUUUUUUCUUCUGUUGAACUGCUAAACCUUUUAUAUCUUUCCUCUUAUCCAUAUUGGUUCUGGUAUCUCUGACGUGGAAGAGGCAUCAAGGAUCUUGGAUCAAAUUUGGUAAAAGGAACAUGUGGAAUUUAAAUUGGUUGUUUCUGGAACUUUUGCAGAUCUCGGUCAAGAUCUAGAUCUCCAUUACCGUUGAAACGUACAAGUGAAAGCCCAAAAAAGCGCAGCGUCAGCAGAAGUCCCAGCAGAAGCAGAAGUAGGAGCCGUAGCAGGAGCAGGAGCCCUAGCAAGAGCUUAUCCCGGUUUCACUCUUUAGCCUUAUAGCUUUUUCUAGUUCAUUUGUGCUUGUUCCCCCUAAAUCAACAUGUUCCUUUUUGUUUUCGUAUCAACACAAUCCUUGAAUUAAA